AACGAACGCUGGCGGCGUGCCUAACACAUGCAAGUCGAGGGAGAAAAGGGACUUCGGUUCCUGAGUAAACCGGCGCACGGGUGAGUAACACGUAGGUAACGUACCCUGGAGUCUGGGAUAACCAGUCGAAAGAUUGGCUAAUACCGGAUACGACUGUAGCGACCUCGGUCGCAGCAGUGAAAGAUGGCCUCUGUUUACAAGCUAUCGCCCCUGGAUCGGCCUGCGCACCAUUAGCUAGUUGGUGAGGUAACGGCUCACCAAGGCUGAGAUGGUUAGCUGGUCUGAGAGGAGGGCCAGCCACACUGGGACUGAGACCCGGCCCAGACUCCUACGGGAGGCAGCAGUGGGGAAUAUUGCGCAAUGGGCGAAAGCCUGACGCAGCGACGCCGCGUGGGUGAUGAAGGCCUUCGGGUCGUAAAGCCCUGUCGGGAGGGAAGAAACGUCUCGAGCCUAAUACGCUCGAGAAUUGACGGUACCUCCUAAGGAAGCACCGGCUAACUCCGUGCCAGCCGCCGCGGUAAAAC
rnacentral:rRNA from 1 species